AGCGAACGCUGGCGGCAGGCCUAACACAUGCAAGUCGAACGAACUCUUCGGAGUUAGUGGCGGACGGGUGAGUAACACGUGGGAACGUGCCUUUAGGUUCGGAAUAACUCAGGGAAACUUGUGCUAAUACCGAAUGUGCCCUUUGGGGGAAAGAUUUAUCGCCUUUAGAGCGGCCCGCGUCUGAUUAGCUAGUUGGUGAGGUAAAGGCUCACCAAGGCGACGAUCAGUAGCUGGUCUGAGAGGAUGAUCAGCCACAUUGGGACUGAGACACGGCCCAAACUCCUACGGGAGGCAGCAGUGGGGAAUCUUGCGCAAUGGGCGAAAGCCUGACGCAGCCAUGCCGCGUGAAUGAUGAAGGUCUUAGGAUUGUAAAAUUCUUUCACCGGGGACGAUAAUGACGGUACCCGGAGAAGAAGCCCCGGCUAACUUCGUG
rnacentral:rRNA from 1 species